UACGAAGGGGGCUAGCGUUGCUCGGAAUCACUGGGCGUAAAGGGUGCGUAGGCGGGUUUUUAAGUCAGAGGUGAAAUCCUGGAGCUCAACUCCAGAACUGCCUUUGAUACUGGGGAUCUCGAGUCCGGGAGAGGUGAGUGGAACUGCGAGUGUAGAGGUGAAAUUCGUAGAUAUUCGCAAGAACACCAGUGGCGAAGGCGGCUCACUGGCCCGGAACUGACGCUGAGGUGCGAAAGCGUGGGGAGCAAACAGG
rnacentral:rRNA from 1 species